rnacentral:rRNA from 1 species
UACGUAGGAGGCGAGCGUUGUCCGGAUUGACUGGGCGUAAAGCGCACGCAGGCGGUUGCGCGCGUGGGGUGUGAAAUCUGGCCGCUUAACGGCCAGGCGCCAUCCCAUACGGCGCGACUGGAGUGAUGCAGAGGUCGAUGGAAUUGCCGGUGUAGUGGUGAAAUGCGUAGAGAUCGGCAGGAACACCCAGGGGGAAACCAGUCGACUGGGCAUCUACUGACGCUGAGGUGCGAGAGCGUGGGGAGCGAACCGG